AAACUAUUUUAAUCUGGCGGCAUUCAAUUUAAUUAGAGGAAUUUGUCCUAUAAUCGAUAAUCCCCGUUAAAUUUCACUUUAUUUCAAAAUUUAUAUACCGCCAUUCCAAGAGCUAAUUUAAAAAUAUUUCUCCUAAUAAUAUAUAAAAAUUUAGGUCAAGGUGUAAUCUAUAUUAAAGAAUAAGAUGAAUUACAUUAAACACCAUUUAAAGAUUAUUCUUUAAAAAUUUAUAUUAAUAAGAAUUUAAAAGUAAUAUUUAAAACAUUAAUUUAAUAUGAUAAAACAAAAAUGUGUACACAUCGCCC
rnacentral:rRNA from 1 species